rfam:Bacillus thermozeamaize isolate ZCTH02-B2 BIN02_NODE75252421503, whole genome shotgun sequence.
UCCAUCGCGAGGUGGAAUCUGAAGGAAGCUUAAGGCA